rnacentral:rRNA from 1 species
ACGCAAGUUGCGCCCAAAGCCUUUUGGCUGAGGGCACGUCUGCCUGGGCGUCA